ensembl:snRNA U6 U6 spliceosomal RNA
GUGCUUGCUUUGGCGGUACAUAUACUAAAAUUGGAAGGAUAUAGAGAAGAUUAGCAUGGCCCCAACACAAAGAUGACACGCAAAUUCAUGAAGCAUUCCAUAUUUUU